rnacentral:rRNA from 1 species
GGGGAAUUUUGGACAAUGGGGGCAACCCUGAUCCAGCCAUGCCGCGUGAGUGAAGAAGGCCUUCGGGUUGUAAAGCUCUUUCGGCGGGGAAGAAAUGGCAACGGCUAAUAUCCGUUGUUGAUGACGGUACCCGCAUAAGAAGCACCGGCGAACUACGAGCCAGCAGCCGCGGUAAUACGUAGGGUGCGAGCGUUAAUCGGAAUCACUGGGCGUAAAGGGUGCGUAGGCGGGUUUCUAAGUCAGAGGUGAAAGCCUGGAGCUCAACUCCAGAACUGCCUUUGAUACUGGAAGUCUUGAGUAUGGCAGAGGUGAGUGGAACUGCGAGUGUAGAGGUGAAAUUCGUAGAUAUUCGCAAGAACACCAGUGGCGAAGGCGGCUCACUGGGCCAUUACUGACGAUGAGGCACGAAAGCGUGGGGAGCAAACA